AUUCCUCCUAGCGAGCCAAUAAUUAUUGACAAAAUAGUUGUUUACAACACAACUAAUCUUAAAUUAAAUCUUGAAGAUGUAAAAGUAACAGGAUUUUGCAAUUUCGAAAUAAAGUCUAUUAAUACAUCCUCCGAUAGGCUUCAUUUCGUAAUGGAUGUCGUGCAAAAACAUAUUGAUGUGCACUCCAAGUAUGAUCUCGACGUACGUGUAUUGUUUUCACUUGUUAAUAAAGGAUCGAUUCACAUUUCUGUAGAUAACUCAGAAGGAACAUUGACCCUAGAUUUAAAAAUAGAAAC